rnacentral:rRNA from 1 species
GACGAACGCUGGCGGCGUGCUUAACACAUGCAAGUCGAACGGAAAGGCCCUGCUUUUGUGGGGUGCUCGAGUGGCGAACGGGUGAGUAACACGUGAGUAACCUGCCCUUGACUUUGGGAUAACUUCAGGAAACUGGGGCUAAUACCGGAUAGGAGCUCCUGCUGCAUGGUGGGGGUUGGAAAGUUUCGGCGGUUGGGGAUGGACUCGCGGCUUAUCAGCUUGUUGGUGGGGUAGUGGCUUACCAAGGCUUUGACGGGUAGCCGGCCUGAGAGGGUGACCGGCCACAUUGGGACGGAGAUACGGCCAAGACUCCUACGGGAGGCAGCAGUGGGGAAUAUUGCACAAUGGGCGGAAGCCUGAUGCAGCAACGCCGCGUGCGGGAUGACGGCCUUCGGGUGGUAAACCGCUUUCGCCUGUGACGAAGCGUGAGGGACGGGAAUGGGGAAAGAAGCACCGGCGAACUACGG